rnacentral:rRNA from 1 species
ACGGAGGGUGCAAGCGUUAUCCGGAUUCACUGGGUUUAAAGGGUGCGUAGGUGGGUUAGUAAGUCAGUGGUGAAAUCUCCGAGCUUAACUUGGAAACUGCCGUUGAUACUAUCUGCCUUGAAUAUUGUGGAGGUGAGCGGAAUAUGUCAUGUAGCGGCGAAAUGCUUAGAUAUGACAUAGAACACCAAUUGCGAAGGCAGCUCGCUACACAUAUAUUGACUCUGAGGCACGAAAGCGUGGGGAUCAAACAGGA